rnacentral:rRNA from 1 species
GAUGAACGCUGGCGGCGUGCCUAAUACAUGCAAGUCGAGCGAACAGACGAGGAGCUUGCUCCUCUGACGUUAGCGGCGGACGGGUGAGUAACACGUGGAUAACCUACCUAUAAGACGGGGAUAACUUCGGGAAACCGGAGCUAAUAGCGUAUAAGAUGCUGAUCCGUAUGGUGCAACAGUGAAAGACGGUCUUGCUGUCACUUAUAGAUGGAUCCGCGCCGCAUUAGCUAGUUGGUAAGUUAACGGCUUACCAAGGGAACGAUGCGUAGCCGACCUGAGGGGGUGGUCGGCCACACUGGAACUGGGCCAGCGUCCAGACUCCUGCGGGAGGCACCAGUAGCGUAUCUUCCGCAGUAGUGGAAAGCCUGGCGGAACGGCGCCGCGUGUGUGGCGGCAGUCUUCGGAUCGUAAUACUCUGUUAUUAGGGGUGAACAAAUGUGUACGUAGCUGAGCCCGUAUUGACGGUACCUGAUAAGGAAGCCACGGCUAACUACGUG